GAUGAACGCUGGCGGCGUGCCUAAUACAUGCAAGUCGAGCGAAUGGAUUAAGAGCUUGCUCUUAUGAAGUUAGCGGCGGACGGGUGAGUAACACGUGGGUAACCUGCCCAUAAGACUGGGAUAACUCCGGGAAACCGGGGCUAAUACCGGAUAACAUUUUGAACCGCAUGGUUCGAAAUUGAAAGGCGGCUUCGGCUGUCACUUAUGGAUGGACCCGCGUCGCAUUAGCUAGUUGGUGAGGUAACGGCUCACCAAGGCAACGAUGCGUAGCCGACCUGAGAGGGUGAUCGGCCACACUGGGACUGAGACACGGCCCAGACUCCUACGGGAGGCAGCAGUAGGGAAUCUUCCGCAAUGGACGAAAGUCUGACGGAGCAACGCCGCGUGAGUGAUGAAGGCUUUCGGGUCGUAAAACUCUGUUGUUACGGAAGAACAGGUGCUAGUUGAAUAAGCUGGCACCUUGACGGUACCUAACCAGAAAGCCACGGCUAACUACGUGCCAGCAGCCGCAGUAA
rnacentral:rRNA from 1 species